ensembl:lncRNA
CUCCACUAUGCUAGCAGGCUGGCUAACAGCCUGCAGCCUGACCUGCACCCUAUCUCAUGUUAAAGCUAUAGGAGUGAGACUCCUGUCAAUGUUCCUAGACAAAAGAAGAGCACCACUCCAGCUAGGAUGGAGUCCGUCGCUCCUCAGCAGAUCAGGCCUGGCCCUAUUUCUGGGAGAGUCCCAAAAAGAAGGCCAGUUAUCUACAAACUCUACCUCCUGCGACGGGCAGAACUCCGUUUUCAGCCAGCGAUUGAGUUGCGCAAGUCUGCUGUAGAGCUCGUCACCACCCCUAGCUGGGAGGGGGCCAGAGACAAUUACUCGAUGCCGACACAUCUUUCUAGCUAAUUUACACGCUGAUGCUAUGUUCUGCUUCGUAACCUCUGACUGUUUCAUCCUAACUUUUCUGGGAUCUAAAUGACCUAGCCCACCUUCUGGAUUUCACCGCUUUCAUGGAGCAUGCAGACUCAGGAGCCCGGCACCAUCAGCCAGGCUAUUAAAAUGGGCUGUGUGCAUUGUAUAACUGGGGCAUCCCCCGACUGUAGUGCUGCAAUCUUUUACAAAUUAUUAUUUUGUUGGCCUCAAAGAAUUUCUUGGCAUAGCGCGCCGGAGGACUGUUACUAUUAACAUCAGCUAAGCGGUUUCCUCAGUAGCUGUGUGGUGGCCCUGGCAUUGAUCUUGUUGUUGUGUGGCCUGGGGUGGUCUGGGUGGGCAGCAGGUAGUGGUUUGGAGCGUUGGCCCAGGAACUGACAUGUGACAAGAUCUAAUCCCUGAGCCAAAAAUGGAAGAGAGAAAGCAUUUGUGUUAUUAGUCACAUUACAUUUCGGUUGGCAUAAAUGUAAAACUUUAAUAAUUUAACCCUAUCUUGUAAUCUAGAGUUGUUUUCCAUAGUUUGGUGGGUUUGAGUCCAGCCAAGCCUUUUCGGCGUCUCUCCUUUUUACUUUCCUGUGUUUUUUUUACUGUUGAAAAUAGCCUGUUGGGGCAGCCACAUUGCCCAAAGUCACAAUAAUGUCUGCAGAAUACUUGAGCCCCCCUUAGGUCAAGUGUUUUAAUAAAGACUUGGAAGCUUAAAAGGUAUAUUCAGCUGCGAGGAUGGCACUCUGAUUCCUGUGUCCUUUCUCUUCCAGAUUCACACAACACUCAUGCUGGUCCAAUGAGGUGGACGGACAGAACAAAGGUACACCUCCCUGGUUCAAGAAAGUUUGAAAACAAGCUCACAAAAUUAUAUAUUUGAGGGACUGAAGCCAGGACCAUUUUUGGGACUCGAGAUAAAUCGGUGCCAGUCUGUGCUCUUAUGCAAUUCGAUUCAGAAACGGGGAUGUAAUCCGUCUCUGUGGAGUUGAAGGAAAUAAUGGAUUCUAGAACGGGUUGUUUCUUUCAGGACUGUGUUGACUUAAAACUGGAAGGCUCACACUUGUCGUGGAAUACUUUUUGGGAACUUCUCAUUUGAAUUGCCUAUUACAGAGGAUAUCCAUGGAUGGUUUUCAUGAUGUGUUUUGGGUUUUGUAAUGAAGCUCCACCCUCCUUUAAUGGUCAUAUGCCAAAGGAAUACAAUAAAAGGAGAAGCUGAUUUAGUAUUUGUUCUCCUCCCCUUAGGGCCUUGGAAGUAUUCUAACACCAAUAUGAAACUGCUGUUCAGUGAACUCUAGGGCACUUUAUAAUCUUUAUAACCCUCUCUAUUUCUCUCUCUAUCUCUCUCUCUCUCUCUCUCUCACUCUGUCUCUCAAAACUAUAUGGACAACUGAAUAGUAUAUUCAAAAAUUAUUAAAUGAAAUACAUCCAUUUUGGAUGGUGGUGGGGGGAAAAAAUAAAUAUGAAUUUGGCCAUGGAUAUCACAACCUGGCAUGGGCUCUCAAGAUGAGGUCAAAAGAAGCACCUGGAUUGGUUUGGUUUUAUUACAUGAACUUCUAGCACAAGUACUGCAUUGUGGUUUAAUGAGAUAAGUUUCAUUCUGACACAAAUGUUACAGAGAAGAAACUGACCCUGGUUUUGCCAAUUGAAAAGAUGGUCACACAAAUCAAAUACUCUUUUCCCUUCUUGUUGGUUGUGUAUGUAUUUGUAUGUGAGAUAAACCUUCACUCUUCUCUGAUUUGAUACCCAUAUUUCCUUUGAAUUAUGAAACAGUAAGAAAAAAACAUGAGACAAGAUUUUAUGCUUUCAUAGGUACAAUAUGUGGAUUUAUAAAGAAAUAAAGUAUU